rnacentral:rRNA from 1 species
UACGGGGGGGGCAAGCGUUGUUCGGAAUUACUGGGCGUAAAGGGCUCGUAGGCGGCCAACUAAGUCGGACGUGAGAUCCCUCGGCUUAACCGGGGAACUGCGUCCGAUACUGGAUGGCUUGAGUAUGGGAGAGGGAUGCGGAAUUCCAGGUGUAGCGGUGAAAUGCGUAGAUAUCUGGAGGAACACCGGUGGCGAAGGCGGCAUCCUGGACCAUUACUGACGCUGAGGAGCGAAAGCCAGGGGAGCAAACGGG